UACAGAGGUCCCGAGCGUUGUUCGGAUUUAUUGGGCGUAAAGGGUGCGUAGGUGGCAAAGUAAGUUGGAUGUGAAAUCCUGGGGCUCAACCUCAGAAUUGCAUUCAAUACUGCUUAGCUAGAGAGCUGUAGAGGAGACUGGAAUUUACGGUGUAGCAGUGAAAUGCGUAGAUAUCAUAAGGAACGCCAGUGGCGAAAGCGAGUCUCUGGGCAGCAUCUGACACUGAGGGCACGAAGGCCCAGGGGAGGCAAAACGGG
rnacentral:rRNA from 1 species